rnacentral:rRNA from 1 species
UACGAAUGGAGCGAGCGUUGUUCGGAAUCACUGGGCGUAAAGGGUGCGCAGGCGGUCUUGAAAGUUAGAAGUGAAAGCCCCGGGCUUAACCCGGGAAUUGCUUUUAAAACUCCAAAACUAGAGUACUGGAGAGGUUAGCGGAAUUCCAAGUGUAGCAGUGAAAUGCGUAGAUAUUUGGAGGAACACCAAUGGCGUAGGCAGCUAACUGGACAGUAACUGACGCUCAUGCACGAAAGCGUGGGGAUCAAACAGG